GAUGAACGCUGGCGGCGUGCUUAACACAUGCAAGUCGAACGGGAAACCUUUUAUUGAAGCUUCUGCAGAUGUAGCUGGUUUCUAGUGGCGGACUGGGUAGUAACGCGUGGGUAACCUGCCUUAUACAGGGGGAUAACAGUCAGAAAUGACUGCUAAUACCGCAUAAGCGCGCAGGACCGCAUGGUCCGGUGUGAAAAACUCCGUUGGUAUAAGAUGGACCCGCGUUGGAUUAGCUUGUUGGUGGGGUAACGGCUCACCAAGGCGACGAUCCAUAGCCGGCCUGAGAGGGUGAACGGCCACAUUGGGACUGAGACACGGCCCAGACUCCUACGGGAGGCAGCAGUGGGGAAUAUUGCACAAUGGGGGAAAACCUGAUGCAGCGACGCCGCGUGAAGGAAGAAGUAGCUCGGUAUGUAAACUUCUAUCAGCAGGGAAGAUAGUGACGGUACCUGAAGAAGAAGCCCCGGCUAACUACGUG
rnacentral:rRNA from 1 species